UCCGGGGUUUAGUGCCGCAGCUAACGCAUUAAGCACUCCGCCUGGGGAGUACGACCGCAAGGUUGAAACUCAAAGGAAUUGACGGGGGCCCGCACAAGCGGUGGAGCAUGUGGUUUAAUUCGAAGCAACGCGAAGAACCUUACCAGGUCUUGACAUCCCUCUGACCGCUCUAGAGAUAGAGUUUUCCUUCGGGACAGAGGUGACAGGUGGUGCAUGGUUGUCGUCAGCUCGUGUCGUGAGAUGUUGGGUUAAGNNNNNNCNNCGAGCGCAACCCCUAUUGUUAGUUGCCAUCAUUUAGUUGGGCACUCUAGCGAGACUGCCGGUAAUAAACCGGAGGAAGGUGGGGAUGACGUCAAAUCAUCAUGCCCCUUAUGACCUGGGCUACACACGUGCUACAAUGGCUGGUACAACGAGUCGCAAGCCGGUGACGGCAAGCUAAUCUCUUAAAGCCAGUCUCAGUUCGGAUUGUAGGCUGCAACUCGCCUACAUGAAGUCGGAAUCGCUAGUAAUCGCGGAUCAGCACGCCGCGGUGAAUACGUUCCCGGGCCU
rnacentral:rRNA from 1 species